rnacentral:rRNA from 1 species
GAUGAACGCUGGCGGCGUGCUUAACACAUGCAAGUCGAACGAAGAAGAGUUGAAUGAGAGCUUCGGCAGGAUUUCUUCUCAUCUUAGUGGCGGACGGGUGAGUAACGUGUGGGCAACCUGCCCUGUACUGUGGAAUAAUCACUGGAAACGGUGACUAAUACCGCAUGUCAUCACUGGAGGGCAUCCUCUGGUGAAAAAAGGAUUUAUUCGGUACAGGAUGGGCCCGCAUCUGAUUAGCUAGUUGGUGAGAUAACAGCCCACCAAGGCGACGAUCAGUAGCCGACCUGAGAGGGUGAUCGGCCACAUUGGGACUGAGACACGGCCCAAACUCCUACGGGAGGCAGCAGUGGGGAAUAUUGCACAAUGGGGGAAACCCUGAUGCAGCAACGCCGCGUGAAGGAUGAAGGUUUUCGGAUCGUAAACUUCUAUCAACAGGGAAGAAACAAAUGACGGUACCUCAUAAGAAAGCCCCGGCUAACUACGUGCCAGCAGCCGCUGUAAAAC